rnacentral:rRNA from 1 species
AUUGAACGCUGGCGGCAGGCCUAACACAUGCAAGUCGAGCGAGCGGCGGACGGGUGAGUAAUGUAUGGGGACUGCCCGAUGGAGGGGGAUAACUACUGGAAACGGUAGCUAAUACCGCAUACUAUCGGAUAACCCAGAUGGGAUUAGCUAGUAGGUGAGGUAAGGGCUCACCUAGGCGACGAUCCCUAGCUGGUCUGAGAGGAUGAUCAGCCACACUGGGACUGAGACACGGCCCAGACUCCUACGGAGGCAGCAGUGGGGAAUAUUGCACAAUGGGCGCAAGCCUGAUGCAGCCAUGCCGCGUGUAUGAAGAAGGCCCUCGGGUUGUAAAGUACUUUCAGGCGGGAGGCGUUACCGACAGAAGAAGCACCGGCUAACUCCGUGCCAGCAGCCGCGGUAAUUC